rnacentral:tRNA from 1 species
GCGCCCGUAGCUCAACUGGAUAGAGCACCGGCCUUCUAAGCCGGCGGUUGCAGGUUCGAUUCCUGUCGGGCGCGCCA